rnacentral:rRNA from 1 species
GACGAACGCUGGCGGCGUGCUUAACACAUGCAAGUCGAACGGAAAGGCCCUGCUUUUGUGGGGUGCUCGAGUGGCGAACGGGUGAGUAACACGUGAGUAACCUGCCCUUGACUUUGGGAUAACUUCAGGAAACUGGGGCUAAUACCGGAUAGGAGCUCCUUCUGCAUGGUGGGGGUCGGAAAGUUUCGGCGGUUGGGGAUGGACUCGCGGCUUAUCAGCUUGUUGGUGGGGUAGUGGCUUACCAAGGCUUUGACGGGUAGCCGGCCUGAGAGGGUGACCGGACACAUUGGGACUGAGAUGCGGCCCAGACUCCUACGGGAGGCAGCAGUGGGGAAUAUUGCACAAUGGGCGGAAGCCUGAAGCAGCAACGCCGCGUGCGGGAUGACGGCCUUCGGGUUGUAAACCGAUUUCGCCUGUGACGAAGCGUGAGUGACGGUAAUGGGUAAAGAAGCACCGGCUAACUACGUG